GACGAACGCUGGCGGCGUGCUUAACACAUGCAAGUCGAACGGUAAGGCCCUUCGGGGUACACGAGUGGCGAACGGGUGAGUAACACGUGGGUGAUCUGCCCUGCACUUCGGGAUAAGCCUGGGAAACUGGGUCUAAUACCGGAUAGGACCACUGCCUGCAUGGGUGGUGGUGGAAAGCUUUUGCGGUGUGGGAUGGGCCCGCGGCCUAUCAGCUUGUUGGUGGGGUGAUGGCCUCCCAAGGCGACGACGGGUAGCCGGCCUGCGAGGGUGACCGGCCACACUGGGACUGAUCCACGGCCCAGACUGCGACGGGAGGCAGCAGUGGGGAAUAUUGCACAGUGGGCGCACGCCUGAUGCGGCGCCGCCGCGCGGGGGAUGACGGCCUGCGGGUUGUAAACCUCUUUCAGCUAUGACGAAGCGCAAGUGACGGUAGUAGCAGAAGAAGGACCGGCCAACUACGUGCCAGCAGCCGCCGCGG
rnacentral:rRNA from 1 species